AUUAUCUGGAGCGUGUUCGCGGAGAUCACGGGCUGGCCACCGCCUUCACUCGCUGCAGCAUCAGGACCAUCAAGGACAAUGAGCCCCGAGCGAGUCACCGCAUCCAUACGUUAAUCUCACGCUAUUCCAAAGACCAGCUAUGAAUCAUGUAUGUGAUAGUACUUUCAAAUCUGCUCGCCUGCAUCCUCGCUUCCUGUCUCCAGCAGUCCGUGGCGUCAGCGUCAGCCGUGUUGGAGGCUGAGAUCCCUGGGGAGGCAGUGUCACUGCUGCUACAGAAGGAUGAUACUGCAGCCGGACAGACACACAAUGCCAGCAGGCCGCAGGAGUCAGAGCGCACACUCACAUACCCGUCUCGCCUCAUAUACUACCUGAACGAAGCUUCUGAGAGCACCUAUCAUGAUCUGAACACACGCGCUAAGAUUCCUGACCCACAAGGACAGGAGAUCCAUCUCGCUCAGGCUUCAUUUCAACUUCAGGCCUUUGGAUCACGAUUCAUUUUGGAUCUCACAUUAAACAAUGACCUGCUGUCCUCAGACUAUGUGGAGAUACACUAUGAGAAUGGGAAGCCCAUCCUCUGGAAGGGUGGUGAGCACUGUUACUACCACGGCCAGAUCAGAGGGAAUGACAACUCUCAUGCUGCUCUGUCCACAUGUAACGGUUUACAUGGCAUGUUUGAUGAUGGAGUUCAUGUGUACACAAUUGAGCCACUUAAACAGAAUCACUCUAUUGAGGGAACAGCAAGACCACAUGUGUUACGCAGGACGACUAUCCUGGAGCAAACCACACCUGCAGGAAAGGAAGGCAUGGAGGAGGAUUUGUCUUGGCUUCGACGGAGGAAAAAGCGAGCUAUGCCGAGGAACGUGUUUGAGGAGAUGAAGUACAUAGAACUCAUGAUCGUCAUUGAUCACAGCUUGUUUAGGAAAACGAAGACCAUGCAGCACACACGCAACCAUGCCAAAUCUGUGGUCAACAUGGUGGAUGCUAUUUUUAAAGAACACUUGAACACGCGUGUGGUGCUGGUCGCUGUGGAGAUCUGGACGGACAAGGAUCACAUUCCCGUUAGCGUGAUACCAUUCGAAAUGCUGCGAAACUUUUCCAAAUACAGACAGCAGCACAUCAGGAAGCACGCAGAUGCAGUGCAUCUGUUCUCAAAUGUGACAUUUCACUACGCUCGGAGCAGUGUAGCGUAUUUUGGAGGGAUCUGUUCUGUCAGUCAUGGGGUUGGUAUCAUUGAGUUUGGUGCUACAUGGACGAUGGCACCGCUGCUGGCCCAGAGUUUGGCUCAGAAUCUUGGUAUUCAGUGGGAUUCAGCAUCAAAGAGAAAGGAUUGUGGGUGCAUGAACUCUUUGAUAGGCUGUAUCAUGGAGGACACUGGGGUCCAGCGCACGCAGACUUUCUCUAAGUGCAGUAUCACUGAUUUUAAAGACUUCCUGUUGAAGGGAGGAGGAUCAUGCCUCUUUAACAAACCCACCAAGCUGUUUGAAGACACAGAAUGUGGAAAUGGAUAUGUGGAGGUGGGAGAAGAGUGUGACUGUGGACCAAGAGAAGAGUGCAUUAAAGAGUGCUGUAAAAAGUGUUCUUUGUCUAACGGUGCUCACUGCAGCGAUGGACCCUGCUGCAAUAACACAUGUCUGUUUUAUCCGCGAGGUUUCUCGUGCCGCUAUGCAGUAAAUGACUGUGAUAUUUCAGAGACAUGCUCAGGAGACUCAGGGCUGUGCCCUCCAAACCUACACAAGCAGGACGGUCACUUCUGCUCUCUCAACCAGGGUCGCUGCUAUGCUGGAGAGUGCAAGACAAGAGAUAGUCAGUGUAAAUAUGUGUGGGGUCCAAAGGCUGCGAGUUCAGAGAAGUUCUGUUAUGAGAAACUGAACACAGAGGGCUCAGAGAAGGGCAACUGUGGCCAAGAUGGAGACAAAUGGAUCCAGUGCAGUAAGCAUGAUGUGUUUUGUGGAUAUCUGUUGUGUGCUAACACUGGCCGAAUCCCACGGAUAGGAAUUAUAAAAGGAGAAGUCACUCCCACAAAUUUCAACCAUCAGGGCAGACUGAUCGACUGCAGUGGUGGUCACGUAUUGCUGGAUGAUCAGACUGAUCUCGGUUAUGUCGAGGAUGGAACUCCAUGCGGUCCGUCUAUGAUGUGUCUGGACAGGAAGUGCCUCCCUAUUCAGUAUCUGAACCUGAGCUCUUGUCCCACUGGACCCAACGGACACAUCUGUUCCAGUCACGGGGUUUGCAAUAAUGAGGCGACAUGUACAUGUGACACAACGUGGGCGGGGACAGACUGCAGUAUGCCUGACCCUCCAAAAGAGCCGCCCCCUGCUGAAGAUGAGGGACCCAAGGGUCCUAGUGCCACCAAUCUCAUCAUAGGGUCGAUCGCAGGGGCCAUCCUGGUGGCAGCUAUAGUCCUGGGUGGGACGGGCUGGGGGUUUAAGUAAGCACCGGUCUGCAUGUCUCUUCGCUCUAACUACAGGCAACAAUAUAUACCUGCAGCUUACACUCACCACGGUUUGGGUUUCUGCUGCAGACACUGUACCAGGACCAGAAACGCUCUACAAAGUGAAGAACUGAGAGCCAGAGAUGAAUAAAGCGUUAACACUGGUCUAAAGCUGGCAAAAGUCACUGCAGCAGAACCUCAAACCAGCUUGAAGGGCCCAGCUGAAAUCCUGACCUGCAUGUUAAAAUGACACACAGCCUCAGUUGUCAUUCACCAUCCGCAAGCCUCACAUUCACAUUCACAGCACAAGCUGGAGAGGCUGAAUCUACAUAGUGCAGAAAAUGUUUUCUCAUGUCGGGAAUAGUUUAGAAUCAACUGAAACUGAAACAGCUUUAAAAAUUUCAGACAAUAAUGUAGUGAAUUGCAUUCAGUGUUCUGUGCAAUUAAAUUCAGCCACAGUAUUCUACUGUCGUAAUCUAUAAACUACAUAACAUAAAAACAACUCAUCUUAGACAACCAGUCAUACAACUAUAUACCGCAUUAGCAGCUGUUCCUAUAGGCCACUUAAAUGUAAGCCAUCUGCUUUAUUGGAAGAGUCAAAGCCAGUGUGUAAACACUCAAAAGCAAGUCUGAUUCUGCAACCUAGUAAUUGCUAAAUUAAAUAUAUACAUAAUAACUGAAAUAAAUUUAAGGAUUUAUGAAUUUGACUUUAUAGAAGAAUAUAAGGAUAUACGUAAAUGCAAACCAAAUGCAGUGUUUACAGACACUUAAUAGCAUGUUAAUUGCAAUAAAAUGAAAAUGUAUUUGUUUAAAAUUAUAUUAAAUAUAAUUAGCAUGCAAAUGCCCCAGAUAUUGGGAGCACUGGGAGAAAUUCCAAAGUCUCAGCUUUCAAAUUAUGUCAGUUUUAUAGAAAAAUACGAACAAUAUGUCUUAAAAUAACUGUUUUUCACACUCUUUCAUGUGGUGUGACAGAUCACUGUAUUCUUUUCAGUUUAAGCAGCAUGUGAAUCAGUCAUCUUUACGAUUACAAUAAUGAGACAUUCAUUUCAUUAAAUUAGGGUAUACUUUUUUUUUCAUGCCUUCUGAUGUUCCUUCACUUUUAUAUCUUGCUAUAAACUUGAAAUAAAAAGGAAUGACACAUUUAGAAUUUGUAUUUCGUGAUCAAAUUGACAGAAUUUGAAAGAUGAUCUGUUAUAUAAAAAGCAACAAAGCACAAAAUUAUUGUGAUUAUGUGGUGGCUGGGGUGCUGCAAAUAAUUAAUGGAAGAUGUUAAAUAUUAUGUCCAAUCAUUUACUAUAUUUUACUGUAAAUAAAACAACUUGUGAAUAGUCACUUAACAUUAUAGGUCUAUACCUCAGAAAAGACAAUAUAAUGUAUGUUAAUGAGUUGGAACCCACUUCAGCCUUUCUUUACAACAUUUUAUUGUUGUUUUUAAUUUAAUGCAUGUGAGGAAUGAAAGAUGUUUUUGCUGAGUGGAGUGAGGUGGUGGAACUUUCACCAAGGACUAUAAUUUAAUGAAUUGAUUCACAUGAAUGCAGUGAUCUGUCACGCCCAAGCGCCAACCUCCCGCUCUCUCUAUUGAAGCCAACACAGAAGUGACUUAAACUGCAAUUCAUCGACUGGCUGCUAGACACUGGCUCCAAAAGGGAGUCAAUCCAAUAGACUCCCCAUCUUAAAAUGCCCAACUUUACAGCAUAAAAAAAACAUGUUUACAGCCUGGUACAAAAAGUGGUUUUGGUCUAUAUAGCUAAUUUUUCCCUUCAUGUCAACUGUGAGGGGGGUGAAUUUUUUAUAACUCAUCCGUUUAAAUUAUACUAAGCCUGCAUAAUUUAAGGCAUGGCCACUUGAGUGACAGGUGGACUGCCGCUGCUGUCACCACCGUCGUGCUAGGUGGGCGUGGUUUCUGCAACCAGCUCCACCCACGCCCCGCCUCUUUGCCGAUUUUCGAUUAUCCGGGAGUGACAUGCAGUGGCACGAUUCCAAGAUGGCAACAGUCGACUCCCGCCCACUAAGAGCUUCAAAAAUGCUCUUCAGAAACCUACAGGUGACGUCACCGACAUUACGUCCAUAUUUUUUACAGUCUAUGGUCACACCACAUUAAAGAGCUUGUAUUAUAAGUCACACUGUAUGUAUUUCGCUAUAAAACUGAUUUUAAAAGCUGAGACUUUGUUUUAUAUUAAAAGUACCAAAAGCACAAGGCAUAAUGCUAUUGUUGUGGGGCUGGCGCACUACAAAUAACGAAUCCAAACACAGACAUGAAAUAUUAUUUCCAAUCAUAAAUAUGGCACAUGAUUUCUGCUAAUAAUCCCAGAUAUAUUCAAAACAUUCUCAAAACAGUUUAACUUUAUUCUCAUAAUUUCAACUUUAUUCUCUAAAUAUUUUUUCUCAAACUAUUACCAUUUUAAUUUCCUAAUUUUAGAUUUUUUUAAUGUGGCACUAAAAUGCCAUUGUAGAUAUGUGAUAUUUUCGAAAAUGUAUUGGUUUAUAAUGUGACUGAUAAGCAGCGUCUGAAAUAACCAUACCAAGAUACUGGAUGUGCUGACAUGUCUGGAGCAGUCUAAUGUGGUAUCUAGUAUAGAUAUCUAUGCUUAUGUUAUGAUUGGUAACCUAACGUUCUGUAAUGAACUACAUAUUCACAAGCAGUUUUAGAGGGCUUUUUCACCCAAAAAUGAAAAUCUUGUCAUCAUUUACUCACCCUCUUACUGUUCCAAAUGACUUUCUUUCAUCUGUGAAGCACAAGCAAAUGCUCUUUUUUUUACACAGUGAAAAUUGUCUAGAAUUGUGGAGUAAUUUGAUUACAAUCCCUCACUUUAUGUUUAAGGUGCAUCAUUGGAUCACAUUUCAGUCAGACCAGAUUCAGUUAGCUGUCAGAUGUAAAAGUAACUGGAGGGACAAUUUGCACUAUAUUGACUAAAUUAUAAAUUAAACUUAAUAUAGUUAGAGUUUCAGAAUUUGAGUUUUGGAUUAUUUAUAUUUAAUGGUAUUUAUUUUUAUUAUUUAUAUUUGAAAAAAGAAAGUCAUCCAGAUUUGGAGGGUGAGUACAUGAGUGAAUUUUCAUUUUUGAGUGCACUAUUCUUUUAAAUGAUGUGAAAGUGUGUGGGCGUAAGUAAUGGAGGAGUGUGGCGAGACAUCAUUAUAACCCUUACGCUCUUUUUCAGUCCUGUGUAAACUCAAGAGGCCUUUGUGACAUGACAUGCGCUCUUCACUCCCUGUCUCCUUGCGGAGGUGCUGGCUGGCAAACCCACCUGAAACGUCAAAAGGCGAGGAUACGAUCCAAAUGCUGCUGCCAUCUAGUGGACAGAAGGAACUCUCAGAUCUCCAGAGCUUCUGUAUUCGACUGGGUUACUGUUUUUGCUGCUCUUCUCUGGCAUUAGUUAUACUUGAAAAUAUUACACAUAAUAGUAAAGAAUUCAACCAACAGUACCUUAGUUAUGUAGCUCCAUCUCCUUUUAUAAGCUCCACCUUCUCUCACUGAGACAUCCCUCUACUCUAGCAACCAAUCAGAUCAUUCUUACAUUACAGGAGCAUGACAUUACAUGAGCAUCACAACAGCUUGGCCUUGGCACCUAUUUGAAGGUUUUGCAUGGCUAAUGCCCAUAUUCAGCAGAAUACAGCGUAACAACCUAUGAACUACUACCAACACGAUCUCAAACAUUUUUUGUUUAUUUGACAAAAGUAAUUGAUAGCUUCAUGGCUUAGCCUUAGAGAGAAAUGUUGAGUUGAAUUAUGAAGAAAUGGCCAGAGCUCAUACAAAAAUGAAAUUCUGUCAUUAGUUAUUCACUUUCAUGUUGUUCUUAAGUGAAACGCUAAAGAAGAUAUCAAGCAGAAUGUUAUGGCAACACUUCUCCAUACUCUGUGAAUGGCAACAAGAUCUAAUUUAAGAAACAGAGCAAACUACCAUUGCACAUAGAUAAGACAAUUUUCUAUACCAGAUGUGACAUGGUAUAUGAUGCGACAAAAUCAAUCUAAAAGCCUACCAGAAUGUGUGAGCGGGCUUUCACUUGCAAAAUAAGAUUAGUACAUAAUCUAAUUAUUCAAUAUAAAACUAAUUAACCAUUAUUCCAAAUACAUAAUGAGUGAUUGAUACAGUCUUUCUAUUGAAUGCACAGAUUUCACAGUUUGAACUCUCACUUAUUUUCUUUUACAACUGUAUUUUCAAGAUCUGAGGCAAAAUAUCCAUUGUCACGUUUAGUAUUAAAGUUCACACAAAACAAUGUCAUCAGCUUGUGUAUUUAUAGGCCUAGCUUGACACAGUACACUUGAGAAGUCUUGUUUAUGAUUUACGUUGACAGUUCUGAGUUAUACUUCCAUUUAUUUCCCCCCGGAGUUUGGACUUUUGCUGUGUACCCGUUUACGCCUCUGUCUGCUCAGAUUUACUUGCUUAUUUUGUGUAUGAUCUUCGCCUGUUUUGACCCUGCUUUGUCUGCUCAAUUAAAACCCUCUGCGCAUGGAUCCUCUUGAGCAGGAGUCACCAGAUUUGGUCCUGGAGGGCCGGUGUACUGCAGAGUUUAGUUCCAACUUGCCUCAACACACCUACCAGAAAGUUUCAAGUAUAUCAACCAAGCAUUUGAUUAGCUGAUUCAGGUGUGUUUGAUUAGGGUUGGAGCUUAACCCUGCAGGACACCGGCCCUCCAGGACCGAGUCUCGUGACCCCUGCUCUUGAGUCUCCAGAGUCUUCAAUGUCACAGAAGACUUCGCCGCAAGUGGAUCCAGCUUAGGCUUUAGCUCAAGCUUCUUUCUUUUUACAAGCCGCAAUGCUCAUCAAGCACAACCAGCUCAACCGCCUCUCAGCCACCAAGGAUGGUGGUCCUCCGGACCUCUUCAACAGCAAUCCUUUGUUAUUCCACCCGCUCGUUGAGUUACCAAGAUGGGAACCAGCAAUGCCACCAUCUUAAGCGCUCUCCUGCUCGCCCCGCUAGCGGUGAAUCCUUGACCCGCACUUUGGGAAAGAUAUGACGGCUCUCCCGGCCACUGCCGUGGAUUUCUUCUAUAAUGCUUCAUCUACAUUGCACAGCAACCACAAGCAUUCACCAACGAGGAAGCCAAGAUAGCUUUUAUUGUCUCCAUUUUGUCUGGGAAAGCGCUGGGCUGCUCGUUAAUCCCUAGAAUUACUCUAGUCCCACUUCGCGGACAUAUUUGAUAACCAGGAGGGAGGCAUUAGCGUGGAGGAUCACUUAAUGUCUAUCCAAUCAGGUGGGGACACCACGGCAGAUUACACGCUGUCAUUACGCACCCUGCACUGUGCAGAGAGGCUGGACUAAUGGCCCAUUCAAGACCAUCCACUCCAUCAACUCCAGGCUGAGUUAGCCAGUCAGGACGAACAGUUAUCCCUGGAGCACUUCAAACAGCAUUUUAAAAACAGAAUUUUAAUGCUGUUGCUGCCCCUCGCACCUUCCUCCUCCGUGACUCCUCCCAAACCCUCCACUGGACCCCAUGCUGCCUUCUAAGCUUUUGAGGAACUUAAGACUCUCUUCACUAACCCCCCCAUUCUGAACCAUCCUGACCCCACGUUACUUUUUGUGGUGGAGGUUGACGCUUCUGACUCCGGGGUGGGGGUCAUUUUGUCUCAGCGUUACAGUUCACCCUCUAAACUCUUUCCUUGUGUAUUUUUCUCAGAGAAACUAAGAGCCCAUCUGAGAGAAAAUACGAUGUGGGUAACUCUGAGCUUCUAGCCAUGAAGCUAGCUUUCGAAGAUUAGAGGCACUGGCUAGAAGGGCUCAGGUUUUUUGCCAUUUUUACCUUUAUUUUAAUAUGUCAGUGCAGGAAGUGGGAGAGAGAGAGGGAAAUGGAAUCGGCCACACUCACUCACUUCUGACAUGACCUCAUUUGUAAAGAACUGCUCAAAGUGUGCUCCAAAAUCCAAAUCCUCCAAAUUACUGUCUGCUGGCCACCCUCUGCCAAUUUUCCAGCCUCCCUGGUGACAUGCCUGUGUAGACUUCAUUACUGACCUGCCAGGGAAAACCACCAUCCUGGUGGCCAAAGCAUGUCCCCUCAUUCCCCUCCGUAAGCUGCCUUCUGCCUGGGAAACUGAAAGGGCCCUUUUUUCAUUAUUUAUUUUGGUUCUACAGCACACUUGAAAAGUUCAUGUCUUACUGCGGCCCCCUGAUCAUUUCCAAAGUGUGGAAAUUCUUCUGUUUCAAAUCAAUGUCAGUUUGACAUCAGUGGAUCACACUCAGUUUAAUGGUCAAGUAGAUCGACUAAAUCAAGAAACUGAACAAAAAUAAGUUAGAACAAAAACUUAAAUUAACAAGGUAAAGAUACCUUUUAUUGCGUGUCUUGACGUUAGAAAGCAGGGUUGUGUCCAGAGGUUGUAGCCUUCAAAAUGAUACAGUUCCAUUCUGAAGGGUUCAUUCCUAUGAUCUAAUUUUUUGAGGGUUUAUCCUCCAGAAUAAGAGCUUUGAAAGGAUGAAGGGUUUAGGGGACCAGAAAACUGUUCCUUGGCACACACUUCUGUCAUCUUGCUGAGCCAAUUAAGGAGGCGCCAUAAUUGCACAAUUAGACGUGAGCUAAGAAUCAAGAGAGCAAGUGUCCAUAUGUGUUUUUUUCCAAAGGGUCCUUUGAAGUGGCGAGUUUUGAGCACUUCGGUUUGGAACGAUCCUUCUAUAUGGCGACCAUGAAAGCACUCACUUCGGAAAGUGUAAUUAUCCCGUUUGCAAUGCAGCAAUAAUGUAGGCUAACUUUUAGUCUCACAUAGUAAGACCUUCAGACUGAUGGCAGAAGGUCUGGACUCCAUAUUAGCUUUCAUUGGCCAAGAACCAACAAAGAGGUUGUCUGUUUGACAGUUUAAGAAUAUAGUUCAGUUUUCUAUCAAUGAUCCUGUGAUCUUCAGAUACUUUUGAAAGUCCAGCAUUUAGCUGAAUCUGAUAAGCGCUCAUUGUCACAGUUGGCUUUCUUCUUCUAUAAAGGGAUUUGACACAAUGGCAGUUUUGUUUCCAGAUAGACCGUUACAAAAUGCAACACACACUUCUCUCGGAAACCCUAUCAAAUUCGACCAAUCAGAUGACGACUUUGAAAAUCUCAAAAUAUUUCCCACUUUGUGAGCCAUAUGCAUUAGAUGUUGAGCCAACAGUCCAUGAACAUGGUAUACGAAGCUGAGACUAGCUUGAACUAGGUUGAAGCAUAAAAAUACAUGUUACUUGAGGAGGAUUGGGAAGCACAUUGCUAAUGUGACUAUAGUUGUUCUUUGACUCUGUGCUGAUGGUUUAAGGCAUAAUUGCAAAAAUAAUUCCAAUACUAAUUUGUUCCUGAUUUUAAUUUAGCUAGGUUGUGGUCAAGAGAGAAUAAAUUAAUAAGUUGUGGUAACGAUUUCUUAAUUUGUUUUUCUACAUAUCGUGCAGGGCUCCAUUCAAAUUAACUUAGUAUUAUUAAAGACACAAGGGUGAAUAAUGACAGAAUUUUCAUUUUUGGACGAAUUAUCUUUUUAAGGUGAAUUAUAAUAUAAUUUCUAACAUAAUUUUACUGUAAUUAAAUAUUUUGCUGCCUUGUUCUUCGUUUUUUACAGAGUGCAAUUGGUGCCCAUUUUUAAAAAUGUUCAUGACUAAAUGUUCAUUCAAAAUAUGUUACUAUAACCAUGUUUAUUUCAUAUUAAUCUUGUAUGUUUAAUAGUGUGUGUAUAUCUGGCAAAUUGUGCAUUGAUAUGUCUGUUAUUUGUCGGUCUUUUGCUCUGACAUGGGGCUAAGCAGCUGGACGUGAGUGAACGCAUCUAUAGAUGCUGUACCUCAACACCCAUGUUGAAUGAGACGGUGACUCUAAGCCAAAGAUCUAAAGUAAAAGUGUAAGUUUGGGACGUUAUAUACAGCACUUUACUGUGAAAUUGUUUCCACUGAUGAGGUGAGGUUCAUAACUGAUCACUGGAAACACAUGCAAUAACCUGAUCAGUCCUACUUUGUUUCAUCUUUGCCACUCAAUUGUAAUUGUACAGAUGGUCAGAUUUUCGAGAAAUAUUAUUCAGACCUUAUAAUAUUGCCUUUCUCGUCAUCCAUCUCCCUCAGCUGUCAGGGCUGCUAACCCUACUGGAAAUGAUUGCUUUGCUGCAUGAAUUUACAAUAGUGGGCUUAUUACUCUGUAAGUAUGAAGUAUGAGUGCCCAACCCCAUAGGAAUAUGUAUAUUACAAAGACUGUGCUGUGCUGUUUGUGCAUGUCAGCUACAAAACUUUUAUUUACUAUGCAAACGAGUUUGUUGCACAAAGCGAAGGGUUAAAACAGUAACAUACCACACUGAAGUACCACAGUUGACCCUGUGUUUUUAGCCAUGAUAUGAUAGUUAAGCUGAGCUUCACAUAUCAGGAAAAAUAACAUUUUGUUGCUUCUUAUCCUUUAAUAAAAAAGGAAUGAAUGUAUUAUCUUUUGUUAUAAAUAGCAACUCAUUUUGCAGAAUUAAAAAUAAUUCCCAUGUUGUUUUUCACAUUUGAGGUUUCAGGUUCGAUUUUGGACACUUGCCUUUUAUAUUUUCUCUGUUAUUCAUCAGCACUGUUUAUUAGCCUAAAUGUUCCUCCAUUUACCUGCUGCUGUUACUCUCAACUAUAAGAGAAAGUCAUCAAAGUAAACAAUAAAAUCAACAGUA